AGCAGCCGCGGUAAUUCCAGCUCCAAUAGCGUAUAUUAAAGUUGUUGCAGUUAAAAAGCUCGUAGUUGAACUUCAGGCCUGUCCAGAUGGUCCGCCUUAAUUGGUGUGUACUGUCCUUGGGUGGGUCCUACCUUCUGGCGAAGCGGCAUGGCCUUAGUUGGUUGUGUCGGGGAACCAGGACUUUUACUGUGAAAAAUUAGAGUGUUCAAAGCAGGCAUAUAUGCUCGAAUACACUAGCAUGGAAUAAUGGAAUAGGACGAUGGUUCUAUUUUGUUGGUUCUAGGACCGUUGUAAUGAUUAAUAGGGAUAGUUGGGGGCAUUAGUAUUCAAUUGUCAGAGGUGAAAUUC
rnacentral:rRNA from 1 species